rnacentral:rRNA from 1 species
UACGUAGGGUGCAAGCGUUGUCCGGAAUUAUUGGGCGUAAAGGGCUCGUAGGCGGUUCGUCACGUCGGGAGUGAAAACUCGGGGCUUAACCCCGAGCCUGCUUCCGAUACGGGCAGACUAGAGGUAGGCAGGGGAGAGCGGAACUCCUGGUGUAGCGGUGGAAUGCGCAGAUAUCAGGAAGAACACCAAUGGCGAAAGCAGCUCUCUGGGACGGUACUGACGCUGAGACGCGAAAGCGUGGGGAGCGAACAGG